rnacentral:SRP_RNA from 1 species
GCCAAGCGCAACGGCAUGUACCUGUAGUCCCAGCCUCCUGGGGAAGCUGAGGCGGGACGCAUGGGCCCAAGAGUUCUAAGAUGUAAUGCACUGUGCCCAUCAGGUGUCUGCACUGUUAGGCAUCAAUAUGGUGACCUCCCAGGAGCAGGGGACCACCAGUUUUCCAAAGGAGGGGUGACCAGCCCAGGUCAGAAACAGAGCAGGUCAAAACUCUUGUGCUGAUCAGUAGUGGGGCUGCACCGGUAAAUAGCCACUGCACUCCAGCCUGGGCAGCAUAGCAAGACUCUCUCU